ACUAUAGCUUUACACUGAACGUUGAGUUCGUCUGUGUAGGAUAGGUGGGAGGCUAUGAAACCAUGGCGCUAGCUGUGGUGGAGCCAUCCUUGAAAUACCACCCUGUCGUGCUUGACGUUCUAACCUGGGCCCAUUAUCUGGGUCGGGGACCGUGUAUGGUGGGUAGUUUGACUGGGGCGGUCUCCUCCUAAAGAGUAACGGAGGAGCUCGAAGGUACGCUCAGCGCGGUCGGACAUCGCGCACUGUGUGCAAAGGCAUAAGCGUGCUUGACUGCAAGAUCGACGGAUCAAGCAGGUAGGAAACUAGGACUUAGUGAUCCGGUGGUUCUGUAUGGAAGGGCCAUCGCUCAACGGAUAAAAGGUACUCCGGGGAUAACAGGCUGAUACCGCCCAAGAGUUCAUAUCGACGGCGGUGUUUGGCACCUCGAUGUCGGCUCAUCACAUCCUGGGGCUGAAGUAGGUCCCAAGGGUAUGGCUGUUCGCCAUUUAAAGUGGUACGCGAGCUGGGUUCAGAACGUCGUGAGACAGUUCGGUCCCUAUCUGCCAUGGGCGUUGGAGAUUUGAGAGGGGCUGCUCCUAGUACGAGAGGACCGGAGUGGACGAACCUCUGGUGUUCCGGUUGUCACGCCAGUGGCAUUGCCGGGUAGCUAUGUUCGGAAGCGAUAACCGCUGAAAGCAUCUAAGCGGGAAGCGCGCCUCAAGAUGAGAUCUCCCGGGGCACAAGCCCCCUGAAGGAACCAUGUAGACUACGUGGUUGAUAGGUCAGGUGUGUAAGUACAGCAAUGUAUUGAGCUAACUGAUACUAAUGAUCCGUGCGGCUUGACCAU
rnacentral:rRNA from 1 species